CGGUGGAACUGGUGCGCAGAAAGUCAACGCAGUGGAAUCAAACAACUAAAAUCCUGACAUCCUCUUAUACAAAUUCGCGAAGCGAUGCGGCGAAGAACAAUGACGAGGGCUGAGAAAGCGAGGGGGGUUUGGAAGACGCACCAUGGUGAGAGACGACGCUCAACGCAAGCGAAGAGAAACGAGUGGGCGAGGGAUGCGAAAAGA